rnacentral:rRNA from 1 species
GAUGAACGCUAGCGGCAGGCUUAAUACAUGCAAGUCGAGGGGCAGCACGGUUAGCAAUAACUGGUGGCGACCGGCGCACGGGUGCGUAGCACGUAUACAAUCUACCUUAAACAGGGGGAUAGCCUUUCGAAAGAGAGAUUAAUACCCCGUAAUAAAUUGAACGGCAUCGUUUGAUUUUGAAAGCUCCGGCGGUUUGAGAUGAGUAUGCGUCUGAUUAGCUAGUUGGUGAGGUAACGGCUCACCAAGGCGACGAUCAGUAGGGGAUCUGAGAGGACUAACCCCCACACUGGUACUGAGACACGGACCAGACUCCUACGGGAGGCAGCAGUAAGGAAUAUUGGUCAAUGGAGGCAACUCUGAACCAGCCAUGCCGCGUGCAGGAUGACGGCCCUAUGGGUUGUAAACUGCUUUUAUACAAGAGAAAACCCUGGUACGUGUACCAGGUUGAUAGUAUUGUAAGAAUAAGCAUCGGCUAACUUCGUGCCAGCAGCCGCGGUAA